rnacentral:rRNA from 1 species
AGAGUUUGAUCAUGGCUCAGGACGAACGCUGGCGGCGUGCCUAACACAUGCAAGUCGAACGGGGUAGCAAUACCCAGUGGCGAACGGGUGCGUAACACGUGAGGAACUUGCCCAUCGGCGGGGGAUAGCCGGCCCAACGGCCGGGUAAUACCGCGUACGACCCUUGGGGGGCAUCCCCUGGGGGUGAUAGCAGCAAUGCACCGAUGGAGAGCCUCGCGGCCUAUCAGCUAGUUGGUGAGGUAACGGCUCACCAAGGCGACGACGGGUAGCUGGUCUGAGAGGAUGAUCAGCCACAUUGGGACUGAGACACGGCCCAGACUCCUACGGGAGGUAGCAGUGGGGAAUAUUGCGCAAUGGGCGAAAGCCUGACGCAGCGACGCCGCGUGAGGGAUGACGGCCUUCGGGUUGUAAACCCCUUUCAGGAGGGACGAAAUUGACGGUACCUCCAGAAGAAGCCCCGGCCAACUACGUGCCAGCAGCCGCGGUAAUACGUAGGGGGCAAGCGUUGUCCGGAAUUAUUGGGCGUAAAGGGCUCGUAGGCGGCUUGGUAAGUCGGUCGUGAAAGCCCGGGGCUUAACCCCGGGACGCCGGUCGAUACUGCCAUGGCUUGGGUCCGGUAGAGGAGAACGGAAUUCCCGGUGUAGCGGUGAAAUGCGCAGAUAUCGGGAGGAACACCAGUAGCGAAGGC